rnacentral:lncRNA from 12 species
CACAUUUUCCCCAUUUCUCCAUCCUUAACAUCCACUGAAGUUGUGGAGGAUGAAUGCUUUGAUCACUCACUCAAGAGGUUUGAUCAAGCAACAGCAUUUUGGAGAGCAAGCAUGCAAGAAUAAGUGCAACCCACCCCUUGACCUCCAGCACACACUCACACUGCUCACUUUUAUUUUCCCAGACUCCAGUCACCCUUUCUGUGUGACGAAUGCAGCGCUCAAGACCUGUGACUUCCACUUAUUAUUCCAGAGGAUGUGCUGGGACAAAACCGGACGUGGAAACUUCUGCUUUCACCAGGGGCAGAAGAGGGAAGGGGUGUUAUCUUUAUCUAAGCUGCAAGGAUGAUUUUUUCCAUUUGCCUUCUGCCUAACAGGCAAAGGUUUGAAUCUUCUCACCACACUGUAAACACCCAGCUUACAAAACAGGAGGAUGACUAAAAUGAUGACAACAGCCCUCAGCAAUGGGAAGUAAAGAAAAGUCUGCAUCUGGAAGGACAGGAUGAAAACAUCCCUCAUAAAGAACUCUCACACAAAGCCCAUCAAGUUUAACUCGGCCAGGAUGAGAGGUUUUAGCUAUCAAGUGUGAUUGCCUUUUUUUAUAAUUUCAAGGGGGGUGGGUUAAAGUGAUUUUGUCUGCUUCUCUUAACACAUUGAUUGAUAGUUGAGUACCUGCUGUGUUUAGAAAAAACACU